CAACCCUGGCAAUGGGCAGAGAGACACCUUGUUGGUGAUGCUGUUCUUACGUGAGUCAGGGACAGAGCAGGUCCUUUGUUCAUCCUAGCCUGAUGCCUGGCUUGGUGGCCGAAGCAGCCUUAUGCCUAGGACUCAGAA